UACGAAGGGGGCUAGCGUUGCUCGGAAUCACUGGGCGUAAAGGGUGCGUAGGCGGGUUUUUAAGUCAGAGGUGAAAUCCUGGAGCUCAACUCCAGAACUGCCUUUGAUACUGAAAGUCUUGAGUAUGGGAGAGGUGAGUGGAACUGCGAGUGUAGAGGUGAAAUUCGUAGAUAUUGGGAAGAACACCGGUGGCGAAGGCGGCUCACUGGCUCGUAACUGACGCUCAUGCACGACAGCGUGGGGAUCAAACAGG
rnacentral:rRNA from 1 species